GCCAGGGUGGCUCAGUGGUUGAGCAUCAACCUAUAAACUAGGAGGUCAGGGUUCGAUUCCCAGUCAGGGCA
rnacentral:tRNA from 1 species